rnacentral:misc_RNA from 1 species
GAUGAAGAACGUAGCGAAAUGCGAUACGUAAUGUGAAUUGCAGAAUUCAGUGAAUCAUCGAAUCUUUGAACGCACAUUGCGCCCUUUGGUAUUCCGAAGGGCAUGCCUGUUCGAGCGUCAUUAUCACCCCUCAAGCCCUCGGCUUGGUGUUGGACGGUUUGGUGGAGGCCCCCUCGGGGGCUCCUGCCCCUCCCAAAGACAAUGACGGCGGCCUCGUUGGACCCCCGGUACACUGAGUUCUUCACGGGACACGUAUCGGACACAUGGGUUUACGGGACACGGUCUGCCUCCCCUCAGGGAGAAUCUUUCUAAGGUUGACCUCGGAUCAGGUAGGGAUACCCGCUGAACUUAAGCAUAUCAAUAAGCGGAGGA